GUGAAUCAUCAAAUUUUUGAACGCAAAUUGCACUUUCUGGUAAUACGGUGAGUAUGUCUGUUUGAGGGUCAGAUAAAUUAAAAUCGUUGUUGUUGCUAGCCGUAGUGGUGUGUGAUGCAUCGGAAUUGAGUCGUUCUUUAUCUUUGGUUUAAGUGACUUAAAAUUAUGUUCGUUUUUUGAACGUAUUUAAAUUAUUAUUUACGUUCGUAAUAUCAAUUAUUAGGUGCGGUGAUUAACAUGUUUUAGCGUGUAUAUUUUCU
rnacentral:misc_RNA from 1 species